GCGUUGGUGGUUCAGUUGUAGAAUUCUCGCCUUCCACGCGGGAGACCGGGGUUCGAUUCCGCACCAACGCA